GGUUAAGCGACUAAGCGUACACGGUGGAUGCCCUGGCAGUCAGAGGCGAUGAAGGACGUGCUAAUCUGCGAUAAGCGUCGGUGAGGUGAUAUGAACCGUUAUAACCGGCGAUUUCCGAAUGGGGAAACCCAGUGUGUUUCGACACACUAUCAUUAACUGAAUCCAUAGGUUAAUGAGGCGAACCGGGGGAACUGAAACAUCUAAGUACCCCGAGGAAAAGAAAUCAACCGAGAUUCCCCCAGUAGCGGCGAGCGAACGGGGAGGAGCCCAGAGCCUGAAUCAGUGUGUGUGUUAGUGGAAGCGUCUGGAAAGGCGUGCGAUACAGGGUGACAGCCCCGUACACAAAAAUGCACAUAUUGUGAGCUCGAUGAGUAGGGCGGGACACGUGGUAUCCUGUCUGAAUAUGGGGGGACCAUCCUCCAAGGCUAAAUACUCCUGACUGACCGAUAGUGAACCAGUACCGUGAGGGAAAGGCGAAAAGAACCCCGGCGAGGGGAGUGAAAAAGAACCUGAAACCGUGUACGUACAAGCAGUGGGAGCCUCUUAAUGGGGUGACUGCGUACCUUUUGUAUAAUGGGUCAGCGACUUAUAUUCUGUAGCAAGGUUAACCGAAUAGGGGAGCCGAAGGGAAACCGAGUCUUAACUGGGCGUUAAGUUGCAGGGUAUAGACCCGAAACCCGGUGAUCUAGCCAUGGGCAGGUUGAAGGUUGGGUAACACUAACUGGAGGACCGAACCGACUAAUGUUGAAAAAUUAGCGGAUGACUUGUGGCUGGGGGUGAAAGGCCAAUCAAACCGGGAGAUAGCUGGUUCUCCCCGAAAGCUAUUUAGGUAGCGCCUCGUGAAUUCAUCUCCGGGGGUAGAGCACUGUUUCGGCAAGGGGGUCAUCCCGACUUACCAACCCGAUGCAAACUGCGAAUACCGGAGAAUGUUAUCACGGGAGACACACGGCGGGUGCUAACGUCCGUCGUGAAGAGGGAAACAACCCAGACCGCCAGCUAAGGUCCCAAAGUCAUGGUUAAGUGGGAAACGAUGUGGGAAGGCCCAGACAGCCAGGAUGUUGGCUUAGAAGCAGCCAUCAUUUAAAGAAAGCGUAAUAGCUCACUGGUCGAGUCGGCCUGCGCGGAAGAUGUAACGGGGCUAAACCAUGCACCGAAGCUGCGGCAGCGACGCUUAUGCGUUGUUGGGUAGGGGAGCGUUCUGUAAGCCUGUGAAGGUGUGCUGUGAGGCAUGCUGGAGGUAUCAGAAGUGCGAAUGCUGACAUAAGUAACGAUAAAGCGGGUGAAAAGCCCGCUCGCCGGAAGACCAAGGGUUCCUGUCCAACGUUAAUCGGGGCAGGGUGAGUCGACCCCUAAGGCGAGGCCGAAAGGCGUAGUCGAUGGGAAACAGGUUAAUAUUCCUGUACUUGGUGUUACUGCGAAGGGGGGACGGAGAAGGCUAUGUUGGCCGGGCGACGGUUGUCCCGGUUUAAGCGUGUAGGCUGAUUUUCCAGGCAAAUCCGGAAAAUCAAGGCUGAGGCGUGAUGACGAGGCACUACGGUGCUGAAGCAACAAAUGCCCUGCUUCCAGGAAAAGCCUCUAAGCAUCAGGUAACAUCAAAUCGUACCCCAAACCGACACAGGUGGUCAGGUAGAGAAUACCAAGGCGCUUGAGAGAACUCGGGUGAAGGAACUAGGCAAAAUGGUGCCGUAACUUCGGGAGAAGGCACGCUGAUAUGUAGGUGAAGUCCCUCGCGGAUGGAGCUGAAAUCAGUCGAAGAUACCAGCUGGCUGCAACUGUUUAUUAAAAACACAGCACUGUGCAAACACGAAAGUGGACGUAUACGGUGUGACGCCUGCCCGGUGCCGGAAGGUUAAUUGAUGGGGUUAGCGGCAACGCGAAGCUCUUGAUCGAAGCCCCGGUAAACGGCGGCCGUAACUAUAACGGUCCUAAGGUAGCGAAAUUCCUUGUCGGGUAAGUUCCGACCUGCACGAAUGGCGUAAUGAUGGCCAGGCUGUCUCCACCCGAGACUCAGUGAAAUUGAACUCGCUGUGAAGAUGCAGUGUACCCGCGGCAAGACGGAAAGACCCCGUGAACCUUUACUAUAGCUUGACACUGAACAUUGAGCCUUGAUGUGUAGGAUAGGUGGGAGGCUUUGAAGUGUGGACGCCAGUCUGCAUGGAGCCGACCUUGAAAUACCACCCUUUAAUGUUUGAUGUUCUAACGUUGGCCCGUAAUCCGGGUUGCGGACAGUGUCUGGUGGGUAGUUUGACUGGGGCGGUCUCCUCCUAAAGAGUAACGGAGGAGCACGAAGGUUGGCUAAUCCUGGUCGGACAUCAGGAGGUUAGUGCAAUGGCAUAAGCCAGCUUGACUGCGAGCGUGACGGCGCGAGCAGGUGCGAAAGCAGGUCAUAGUGAUCCGGUGGUUCUGAAUGGAAGGGCCAUCGCUCAACGGAUAAAAGGUACUCCGGGGAUAACAGGCUGAUACCGCCCAAGAGUUCAUAUCGACGGCGGUGUUUGGCACCUCGAUGUCGGCUCAUCACAUCCUGGGGCUGAAGUAGGUCCCAAGGGUAUGGCUGUUCGCCAUUUAAAGUGGUACGCGAGCUGGGUUUAGAACGUCGUGAGACAGUUCGGUCCCUAUCUGCCGUGGGCGCUGGAGAACUGAGGGGGGCUGCUCCUAGUACGAGAGGACCGGAGUGGACGCAUCACUGGUGUUCGGGUUGUCAUGCCAAUGGCACUGCCCGGUAGCUAAAUGCGGAAGAGAUAAGUGCUGAAAGCAUCUAAGCACGAAACUUGCCCCGAGAUGAGUUCUCCCUGACUCCUUGAGAGUCCUGAAGGAACGUUGAAGACGACGACGUUGAUAGGCCGGGUGUGUAAGCGCAGCGAUGCGUUGAGCUAACCGGUACUAAUGAACCGUGAGGCUUAACCUU
rnacentral:rRNA from 1 species